UGUCCGAGGCCUCGAGAGGCGCGUAGUCGCACGGAGUGCUGCCCCCGGAGAGCGCGAUUCCGCACUCCCCGAACGGGACGGCUACGAGAGCGGGAGGAACGUGCGCGCUUGAGCGAUCGAGCGUGCGAGGGUGUUUAAAAAGUGGACGGCGCGGAGUGGGUAGCGGGAAGAGGGUGAGAAAGCUGCGUGAAAUGACCGACAACGCGAAUCGGUGCUGCCUCGUGUGCGCGCGUGCAUCGGCGAGAGAAGAGCCUCGCCCGGGCGGAGAUGAGCGCGGGCGAUCACCGUCCCGUGCGUCUCGUUCUCCUACCGAUGACGCCACGUUCCGCAAGUAGGAUUCCGUGCAAAGGACAGGAAGAUACCGUCGCCACCGCCACCGCCGGCGGGACGAAGGACGCGCCGAGGACCGCACUUCCUCGCUCCUGGCGGCAGUGACCAUGGCGUUUAUCCCGCUGCACGUAAACGGUGCUCCAGUGAACGAUACGAGGCACGUCGCAGGCUGAUGCUGCUGCUCCCGUUAACCGAUCGAAACAUCUGAUUAGCGACGAAGCUACGAAGGAACUUAGAAGGCAGUCUUCUUGUUAGAACAUGUUAUCGGAGACUCGUGAUAAUCGUUAUGACUUUAUCUGUGGUGAUCUUCUUGAUCAAUUUACGUGAUUCUUUCCUUGCAUGGUGAGUACGUCGAAAUUAAAAAGUAAGCGAUUGCAAUGGUGUCGUGUAGAAUGAUGAUCGUUUACGUCGCGGAUUCCGACGAAGACAAAGAAAAUUCAGCGCCUUCGUGCUUACUGCUAUUGACGUAUGCCCACAGCAGACUGAAGUGCAUCAUUUUGCAUUCCAAACGGCACAUUGCUUAUCCGCCAUAAGGAAUCAAAGGUGAUGGCACGUGUUACGCGUACUCGAUUGAAAAUGGCGAAUACGACUGAUUCAUCUGCCACGGCUCCAGGCAGCCUUCUUUCGUCUUCAACGACGGCCCCGUUUACUACUCCAUCGACGUCGGUUGCAAGCUAUUCGAGUGAGAGUUACACUCUCAAUUAUAGUGGUUUGUCCAGCCUGGGUAGCUACUCGCUGGAUGAUCUUAAUUAUACGGAAUUAUGGAUGGACGUCUGGAAUGGUACUCAGAUUAACAAUGUCACCGAGAGAUUGAACGCAACAAUUCUCGUACCGGGUGGCUACUGUGACGAAUGGGAGGCUGCUCAGCACAAGCUCUUCCAGGCGGCGAAUUUAUUUUUUGCGGCUGCCUUUCUAGUGCCGCGCUCGUUCAAAGCUUCCGUUUUGGCUCUUCGCACAUUUCUCACGGCAGGCUUCAUGUUGGCGGCUCUCUGGGCCGGGAUUACCAUAUGUGCCCUAGAUGCCAUGUUAUGGUGUUUAGCCCUCGGUCUGCUGAACGGCAUUCACUCGCUGAUACUCGCCUGUCGAUUUUUGCCUCCGGCUCUCAGUCCUGAACUAGCCGAACUUUAUCUGAAACUCUUCAAACCUUACAAAGUUAGCAAGAAGCACUUUCAGGAACUCGCGAAAGAAGCGAGGAUACUCAAAUUGGAUUCUGAUCAAACUUACGCAACGGAAGGGGUCACACCAGCGGAUAAAAGGCUGUCUAUUCUUUUACGUGGGAAAUUGAAGGUAACUUGCGACGGCACGCAUUUGCAUUAUGUCAGAGCUUAUCAGUUCGUCGACUCGCCCGAAUGGGAAGCGAUGCACGAAAACGACGCUGACGUCUUCCAGGUGACGAUACGAGCCGAAGAGUCCAGCACUUAUAUUUGUUGGACAAGAAUGAAGUUGCUUAGAGUGCUCCGACAUAGGCCUCUGCUUAAAGUCGUUCUCAACACUCUCAUCGGUAAGGACGUUACGUCCAAGUUGUACGCCCUUAACGAGCAGCUCGCUGGUGUCGCAACCGCCAGUGAGAACGCCACGUCCAAUCCUUACAGGGGAGUCUCGAGGAGUCUCAGCGUUGACGCUGUUAAUACCGAAACUGCUGGAAGAGUGCGAUCGGCGACUUGGAAAGCGCAGAGGCGGUGCAGCAAUUCACGCAGUAACAAAAAUUCUCCAACCCGAUAUUCGCAUCAGUAUUGGGCGCCAGUGGUGGCGAACCAUUUCCCACCGACCUCACCGUUCAUCCACAGCCAGAAUCUUGGCUACUCGUUAUUGCCGCAAGGUAUCCAGUUUUCGCCGCCACCGUCACGAGUGCCCUUGUCUUAUCAUUCUCCCGUGGCGCGGCAGCGAAGCGGCGGUGCUGGUGGCGAUUAUACUCUGCUACCUCAAACACCGAAACUCGAGAGGAAGAGAUCUCGAAAAGGAACUAGAGAGCUAGCCACCACUUGUACCACUUUGAUAAAAUGCUUAAUUUUCAUCGGCGAGGAACUAGGCCAGAUGAUUUUUGAGGUCCUCUAAAAAAUGAAACUAAACCAAUGGGGGAGUUCUGCAACGGCCGGAAUAAGUGGAAAUCAGAUAGUACAAGGUCGAGUGAAUACGGUGAAUGAGGUGACCUUUGAGACACCGGUAUGACGCUCGCUCGACGGGGAAGGGCCUGCCAGCAUGCCUCUGCUCUCACUAUCACCGCAGCGCUCCACCUAGCCCCGUCGUGAUCUUGUCGCCAUCCUAAGGCAUGCUGUAAGACUCACUUAGUAAGACUUUGAAUUUCUGAUCGAUCAAUGAAUGGCCUAUACAUCAAUGAGACAACAGGAAGAGAAAACAUGACGGCUUCGAUAACGUGCAAAUAUGACUUUGAUACCACGUGAAUCCCUGAUAUUGCUAGAGAUUACGGGGUAACGAAAGCAAAGAAUGCAGUUUUGACAAUUAAUUUUUAUAUCCUGCAAGUGCCAUCUUACGUACAGCAUACACGCACAUAGGAAAUUAAAUCAGGCGGCCGUCAUAGAAAAAGAAUUCCAGCGUGAAUCGCAUUCGGAGCUUAGGCAUCGAAGCUCCGGGGUGAAUCCGAAAGUGUGUGAGUUCGAGUGUGUGAGGAGAGACCUAAAUACUGUUCUUGAGUUAACAGUGAGGGAGUGGUAAUCGAUAAAGGACAUUGUAAACGAAAGACUAAAUAUAGAUAUAUUCGCAUUGACGAAUAUCGUCUUUGUGUACAUCUUUACAUCGACUGUGAUUACAACGGAUAUAAUUAUUAAAUCUUCAGAGAAACACUGAUUAUACAUAUAUACAUACAAGAAAAUACUCGCGUAAUUAGCUGUCGCAGUAAUCACACAUGCAUGUUCCAAGUCUGCAUAAAUUAUAUGUCCUCCAUAACAAUUUUCAGUUUUGAUAAAUUUGUAUUUUAGGGUAUUCACAGUUCUUUUGUAAAGUGUUACAUCAUAUUUUUGAUAAAUCUUUGAUUUCGCAAAGCCUUUCAUUUUUACACAUUUUACAAAAACAAUGUCUACGAGGGUUGUCUAAUGUCUAAUAGUUCGAAAAGUUCUUGACCUGACACAGAGAUGAUACCAGAAGUAUCAAACUGCUACAAUUUUUGACAAGGCAGAAUGGGCAUCAAAUUCAAUAUAUGCCACUCUUUAUACUAUUAAUAAAAAACAAUAAUUUUUGACAAGUUUGAUCCUGCAAGGGGCUACUGCCAAAAUUUCAGACAAAUGCGUUCAUUAAUUUCUUUGUUUCAGUUAUGUAAAGAGUAAACUUUUUUAGUUUUUUUAAAAUGGAUAAAGUUGAAUAUCGCACAGUGAUAAAAUACUUUGUUUUCAGAUUUAGCCCCCAGUGACUUUUUCCUCUUGCUAAACACGAAGAAAUGGCUCGCUGGAAAAAGAUUUGGUUCAAAUACUGAAGUAAUGAAACUAACGCUUAUUUUGAAGGUUUAGAAAAAUCAUAUUAUACAGAUGGUAAAAAAGUUAGAAUAUCGUUGGAAGAAGUGUAUUGAGCUGAAAGAGGACUGUGUUGAAAAAUAAAAAAAAUUUUGCAAAAAUCAUGUGUUUUCUUUGUCAGGCCGAGAAUUUUGGGACUAUCCUUGUAAACAUUGCUUUAAUAAAUCAUUGGAUUCAUAAAGUCUUAUGUGAAUUUAAUGAUUAUCAUAUAUUUUCAAUGUGUAAUAAAAAUAUAAAAUCUUUUUUACUGCAUCUCGUAGCGAAGGAUAUCUAUCUGUGCAGCACAACAUGGUCAGGAUCGCCGCAUAAAACUAGUGCAUAAAAUGCGCAUUCAUAAUAAAUGUGAUAUGUCGAAAAAACACUUUUUAUCUAAAACCGGCGAACGGAAAAUUACAUUUGCACUCCUCUAACGAAAUAUAAAAGAAAUAUAAGCAAAAAAAA